CCAAGCUCUGGAUGCUAUCUAUAUACUUUACUACAUAUAAUCGUCCUACAACAAAACCUAGAAUUGGUGAAAGUAACUUGCAUUGCAUUUCGGGAUGUGGCGUACAGUUCUAUGUUAUUUCUGUUUCUUUUUCCAUCUACUAUAUUGCACAUCAUGCACCUUAUUCAACCGUGAUUAUUAUCACCAGGGAAGGUGCAGUGAUAACCUAUUUAUGCAGUGCUAAGUGAGAUUUUGUACAAAAUCGCAGAAAACCAAGCUUCUGAAGGCCUGAUUCCACGACGGCGAAAUUCUUCGCGAGAAAUUGUGUCUGCGAAAUACGGAUGGUUGCGCAUGCAUGAGCGAUUCUAUUGAAUUUUCCCACUUUUUCCGCUUCCGCAGUAAGUAGAACUGAUUUCUACUCACUGGCUGGUGAGCGAAAUUUUUUCUCGCGAAACCUAAUUUAUCUUUACUGCGAAUUUUUUCGCAUUUUGCCGAAGAAAGCGCCCGUGGAAUCAGGCUUUUAGGGUUAAAAAAUACGCUGCUCAGUGCUCCAUUGCUGUUUAAUUCAAACGUUUGUAAUGUUAUCCUUCUGCUCUUUGGUCCAUGAGAAAAUGUCCUUAAAAUAAUCGUUGAUAUUCAAUACAUGGAUGUAAAGGUUUUUUAAUUCGGACAUGCGAGAAUGGACUCUUCCUCGUCUAUAGCUGUCUCAUGGAAGAAUUGAUAAAUUGCACCUGAUGUCGAGAAAAGGGAUUUACUCGAUGGAGUAUACAGGGUGAGAAAAUAAUGUACCUGAGCUGCAUCGAUUCCGGUUUGUAUUUCUCGGUAUCCCAAUAUGGAGAAGACAACAAUUCCAGCGAAGAGCGAUGUGCCACAAUUGACAAAGACAACAGUGUAGGCGUCUCGCAUGCAUUGGUUGUUGUAAGGCAUGAAGCUCGCAAACGAACUUAGUGCACCAAAUCCGAGACUGAGAGUGAAAAACAUUUGAGUUGCAGCAUCUUUCCAAAUCUUUGCAUCAUUCAGUCUGCUCCACUAAAAGAUCAAUGUUGUUAUGUAUGGAACUAUAUAUACUUUAUUUGCUUCUUGGUAAUCAUUCCAAAAACAACUACUUGCUAUAGGCGUUUUAACAUGCACAGGACAUGACUCAGUUUUGAGACGAUGGAAUGUUAGAUUUUUUCAAAAUACACUUUCAUUAAAAGAUGACGUGGUUUAUGCCUGAACUAUUUGUCACUGAACAUAUAUAUAAUUUCGGGCGACCAUCCUUCAUCAAGCUUCAAGGAGUAACCUGACUGCCAACAUGAUGACGAAGGGCAGUGUAUAUGAAAAUUUUACUAUUACAUAAUAGCGGGUAAAUAAAACAAAUUGUUAUAUAGCUAGGGUGAACACCAAACGUGAUUAACUGAUUUGUAGUCACGUAACUUCAGAUAAAUGCAAUGUAUCCCGCCGGGCAACAAGUGAAAAAUUGUUGCCCGCCCCAACGUACAUAAAAAAACAAAAUGGCGGCACAACUAACAUAACUAGAAAAUACAUGCAUGCAGAAACCCUCGCCUUACUAACAAAACAUUAUGUUUUCUGAAUAUGAAGAAUUGAAAGUAGUUGUCAUGGUAACACGAUAAUUUUAAGAAUAGUUUUAAAAUUGAAAAAUCCCCCAAAAAUUCCCAAAAUAUCACUUUUAAUAACAAAAUUAUCAAUU
rnacentral:lncRNA from 1 species